rnacentral:tRNA from 1 species
GGUGGGGUAGCUCAGUGGUAGAGUGCAUGCUUGACAUGUACAAGGUCCUGGGUUCAAUCCCCAGUGCCUCCA